UGAUGGCGACCGGCGGAUGGGUGAGUAACACGUAUGCAACCUACCUUUAACACGGGCAUAACUCGAAGAAAUUCGUGCUAAUUCCCGAUAAUACAGGGGCGCCGCAUGGCGAUAUUUGUUAAAGAUUAAUCGGUUAAAGAUGGGCAUGCGUUCCAUUAGCUAGUUGGUGAGGUAACUGCUCACCAAGGCAACGAUGGAUAGGGGGACUGAGAGGUUUAUCCCCCACACUGGUACUGAGACACGGACCAGACUCCUACGGGAGGCAGCAGUGAGGAAUAUUGGUCAAUGAGCGAAAGCUUGAACCAGCCAAGUCGCGUGAAGGA
rnacentral:rRNA from 1 species